rnacentral:lncRNA from 14 species
ACAUCAUUGGCAGCUCCAGCCCCAUAUAUCCUCCCGCUAACAGCCGCUCAUUAACGCUCAUUAACGCCCUCUCAUCCCCAUUAAGCCUCAUUAACGGCUCCGUUUCCGGCUCUGCUCCACCCUUCCCGUGCCAGGGACUGGGACUAAACGGGAAAGGCUCCUGGAGGGAUGGGAUGAGGUAGGAAUGGGAUAAGGAUGGGAUGAGGUAGGAAUGGGAUAAGGAUGGGAUGGGAUGAGGUGGGAAUGGGAUAAGGAUGGGAUGAGGUAGGAAUGGGAUAAGGAUGGGAUGGGAUGAGGUGGGAAUGGGAUAAGGAUGGGAUGGGAUGAGGUGGGGAUGGGAUAAAGAUGGGAUGAAGCAGGUUGGGAUGGGGAUGAGGUGCGAUGGGAUGAAGGGAUAGGAUGAGGAUGGGAUUGGGAUGAAAUGGGACAGGCUGAGGAUGGGGAGGGAUGGGAUAAGGAUGGGGACACAAAGGGAAGGAGACCCUGCCCCCCCCCCCAUUAAUAAAAGCAAAUCCAAAGAGAGCAAAGAGCUUUAAUGGCUCCAGCAGCACUUGAGCCUCCCCAGCCCCCCCUUUUCCAAUGGGAUUUGGGGCCAGAUCCAAUGGGAUGGAGCUAGAUCCAAUGGCAUGGGGUUGGAUCCAUCGAGAUCAGGACUGGAUCCAUUGGGAUCAGUUGGGAUCCCUCGCAAUCAGGUUGGAUCUAUUGGGAUCCAUUGGGAUCAGGAUGGAUCCAUUGGUAUCAGCUCCAUCGGGAUCAGUUGGGAUCCAUCAGGAUUGGUUGGGAUCCAUCGGGAUCAGUUGGGAUCCAUCAGGAUCAGUUGGGAUCCAUCAGGAUCAGUUGGGAUCCGUUGGGAUCCAUGGGGAUCAGUUGGGAUCCAUCGGGAUCAGGUUGGAUCCAUCAGGAUCAGGUUGGAUCUAUCAGGAUCAGCGCUCCCGGGUCUCUCAUCCGCUGUGGCUCCAGGGCAGCCCCAGCUGUGGCAUCGCCCAGGGUUGGAUGGGGCCAUAGCGGCGCCGGUGCCAGAGGCAGCCGCGGCUCCAGGAACGCGACGGCGGCGACGGUGAGGACCAGAGCGUGGUGCUUGAGGGCCGUGUGCACAC